GAAGAAAGUGGAAAUAAAGACCAAGGACGGAGAUAUCUGUUUAAUUAAGGACAGGACUGGAAGGACGAAUUUAAUUAAGAAAUAGUAAGUUACAGGGAGACAGCAGGUGGCAGUACUGCAACAUUAUGGAUGCCAACUGCCUUAAAACACCAAAGAAGAAGAAGAAACUAGUUUAAUAGAGAACAGGUGGGCCUAAUCAUGGUUGAAGACUGAAUUAUCUUUGAGGCCUGAUUUGUGAUGGAGGGUGGUGGGCGUCGGAGACUGAGGUUUUCAUCCAGGAUUGACAUCAUCGUGUUUUAUUCCACAGGAUGGAUUUAAGCCUGGGAAUUGUGUUUUUCCCUAUUUCUUUCCUCAUCCGGGUUUGUGAACUCUGCUGUGUGGUUUCCACUUGGUCUGGAUUUUUGAACAAAACCCUGGAGUUUUUUUGGUGAAAGAUGAGUACUCGCUCAAGCUGCACAUGUAGUUGGAAUUGGAGGGUGUGGAGAAACACAUCUGCGACCUACUCAACAUGCAGGUCCAGCUGCGUGAAUGACGGAGGUGCUAGAAAUAUCUUGCGCUAUUACCUACAAAUCUAAGGUAAGCAUGCAGUGUGCUACUAUCACUCCCAGCAAGGACCAUGCACCCAGGACGUAUCCAGUCCAGGUCUCCCUCACUCCGGUGCUGACACACCACUGACCUUGAGUGCACCAGCAGCGGAAGGUGUGGGCCAGACCCUGGCCAAGGACCUCUCCCCUUCCGCUGCCCCCCGACUUUGAGAUCCCCAUCAGGAACUGCUUCGCCUCUCUGUGAGAAGAAACCGAGCGCUGUGAUUAUCGGAGACUCCAUUGGUCAGAACGUCUGAGGUGUCACCUUGUCUAAAGGUGAGGUGUGUGCGCACACUGUUUCUGGUGCUCGUGUUCUUGAUGUCGCUGUGCAGGUAUCCGUGAUCCUGACGAAAGACGAGAGCAUCGGCGCUGACGUGCUGCAUGCAGGAGUGAAUAUCGGGCUGUGGCAGACGGAAAUCCUGAAGAGGGACUUUGGCAGCCUCAUGGAGACGGUACAAAGCAGAUCGCCCGCGAUGAAGAUCGUGUCUGGACCCCUCCACACAUACAAACGUGGACUUGAAAGGUUCAGUAGACACUUUGCCUUAAAUGAGUGCUUAAUAUCUUGGUGUAAUGAACAGAAUCUGCUCAUUGUUAAUAAAUGGUAUCUUUUCUGGGAGUGUCCUAGGUUGUUCUGUGCUGAUGGCCUGCACCCCAGCAGCCUCAGGGAGGAACUCCUGUCAGACUUCAUGUCCAAGAUGCUACACACAAUGUGACACCAUGUGAACUUCCAACAUCAGCAUUUGUAGUCCAUCCUAUUGAGACUCUGUUCCCCGAGUUAAACCAAUACAUCGAAAUUUUCAGAAAGCUUGUUUUCCUGUUGCUCAUCUAUAGUCAUAUUCUAGGCACCACACAAAAACCUAGUCAUAAAUUCAACCCCUUUGGAGUUCUUUAUACUAGUAUGACACAUGUAGCCACAAAAAUAAGUCGAUUCCACUAAUGAUUAUUUACAGACCCCAAGGUCCAUAUUCUGAAUUCCUUGAUGAAUUUGCAGAUUUAAUGUUGGACCUGUUUGUUUCUCUAGACAAAGCAUUAAUCAUUGGCGAUUUUAAUAUUCAUAUUGAUAACCCAAAAGACCCUCUAACAGUGGUUGUGUCCAUUCUAGAUUUAGUAUAGGUCAAUCAGAACGUAAUAGGACCCACUCAUAAUGGUGGUCACACUCUUGACCUGACACUAACAUAUGAAUUAAAUAUAGAAAUUUUUUUUGUCACAUUUCUGCAGAUCAUUAUCUCCUCUUGUUUAAAUUGACAUUGAAAUUGAUGCACAUCGCCAUGCUACCGUGUAAAACAUACGUUCACACAGGAAGAGAGGGAAUUGUGGUGGCGUUUGGGUGAGAAUCAGACGGACUGUUGCUUCCUCCAUACAAUCGAUGGAGUUUCCCUUGGUUACUAUAAGCUUGGAGGGACUCCACUUGACGUGACGAUCAUGGGAUUACAAAUAGUUUUUUCAUCUGCCUAUUUUCCCGGACUUCCUACACUCAUCUAAUUGCUCUGCUCCUCCACGAUUCUGGAUUCGUCAGAGAAGAGUGAACUGUUUAAAUCUCUGCCAACUGGAAUUCGUUUCACCAGAUCUGACCUAGUUACCUCAGUCUCCUCUGAAUAUGGCCCUAGUUAAUGCUAGGUCCAUGUGCAACAAAACUUAUUUUAAAUGACUUUUCUGCCAGACAUAACUUGGAUGUUUUAUUCCUGAAGGAGACCUGGGUUAGUCCUGGUGAGUCAACAGUCUUCGAGGAACUGUCUGCCGAAGUGUUUUAUUAGUACUCCAUGGUCUGCUGGCAAAGGCGGUGGGGUUGCUAUGGGCUUUAAACAGUCACUUAAUGUAUGGACGGUUUCUGUUGGGAUUUACUUCUCGUUUGAGGUACAGUGUGUUGCGUUAGAGUCGACCUCUUCCGUGCUUUGAUCUAUAGGCCACCUAACCUGGCUUUUUUUUUUGUUGUUUUUUUUUUUAUAUAAAUGUGGUUCUUUUUGUAACUUUUGUUUUAUUUUUUUUAACUUCUAUUGUUCUUUUCUAUGAACGCAUGUUAUUGGGUGAUCUUAAUGUGCAUGCCUGCUGCCCUGAUCUACCCUUGGUUACUCAAUUUUGUAAUAUCUUGGAUUCCUUAUUCAACACAUAAAUCGGGCAACACAUGCCCUUGGUCAUACUCUAGACCUUAUAUUUUCAUAUGGAAUUGCUGUUGAUGUUAUUGAAAAUGCUUCCUUCUCUGAUCACAAGCCCACUGUUUUUCACUUUUAAUAUCUGUGAACUGUGAUAUUUUUGUAAAGCUGCUUUGAGACAAUGUCUAUUGUAAAGAGCGCUAUACAAAUAAAAUUGAAUUGAACAAUCUUA